CAGUCAGUCAUACCGCCCCCUGUCACGCAAGGCGAGCUCAGCAGUCACAUGCGGAACCAAACAAAACAGAAGCAAACAGCGUUGACUUUGAUCGCGAAGAAUUCUGAAUCUCAGAUAAGGCUCAAUAUUUUCUAGUCUUCCUAGACUCGAUUAUUUAGCUCAGUUGAAAUUGGACUCAGGCGCAUUACGAGACACAGAUCCCCCAGAGGUGUUCAACUUCUUAAACAAGAUAUGUGAGCGUGCCCUUCUCAUGAGACGCAACCCCCGUGAGGUGACCUGGACUGUUCUGUAUCGCCGCAAGCACAAGAAAGGCACCCAGGAGGAAGUGUCCAAGAAGCGCACCCGCCGUAAUAUCAAGUUCCAGAGGUCUGUACAGGGUGCGUCUCUUGACAACAUCCUCGCCAA